GGCAGAGGGUGCAAACGUUGCUCGGAAUUACUGGGCGUAAAGCGCGUGUAGGCGGUUCGGAAAGUCGGGUGUGAAAGCCCUGGGCUCAACCCAGGAAGUGCACUCGAAACUCCCGAGCUAGAGUCCUGGAGAGGAAGGCGGAAUUCUCGGUGUAGAGGUGAAAUUCGUAGAUAUCGAGAGGAACAUCGGUGGCGAAGGCGGCCUUCUGGACAGCGACUGACGCUGAGACGCGAAAGCGUGGGGAGCAAACAGG
rnacentral:rRNA from 1 species